rnacentral:rRNA from 1 species
UACCAGCACCCCGAGUGGUCGGGACGAUUAUUGGGCCUAAAGCAUCCGGUAGACCGGUUUUACAAGUCCCCCGUUAAAUCCAACUGCUUAAACAGAUGGGCCGCAGGAGGAUACUAUAAGACUAGGAGGCAGGAGAGGGCAAGCGGUACGUCAGUGGGGAUAGGGGUAAAAUCCGUUAGAUCCAUUGAAGACCACCAGUGGCGAAGGCUGGCUUGCCAGAA